rnacentral:misc_RNA from 1 species
GAUGAAGAACGUAGUGAAAUGCGAUAAGUAGUGUGAAUUGCAGAAUUCAGUGAAUCAUCGAAUCUUUGAACGCACAUUGCGCCCUUUGGUAUUCCAAAGGGCAUGCCUGUUCGAGCGUCAUUUGUACCCUCAAGCUUUGCUUGGUGUUGGGCGUCUUGUCUCUAGCUUUGCUGGAGACUCGCCUUAAAGUAAUUGGCAGCCGGCCUACUGGUUUCGGAGCGCAGCACAAGUCGCACUCUCUAUCAGCAAAGGUCUAGCAUCCAUAAGCCUUUUUUUCAACUUUUGACCUCGGAUCAGGUAGGGAUACCCGCUGAACUUAAGCAUAUCAAUAAGCGGAGGA